CCAAUCAAACAAAUUGCGAAACAGCCCAAAAAAAAAAAAAAAAAUUAAGCAGAGUCUUUGUUAAUAUAUAACACUGGUUCUUUCACAGUUGACAGAGGUGGUGUUGUUGACCUUGCUGUUGAACUUUGGAUUGCCCAAUCACAGCUUUAAAAACAUCUGAGGGUAACAGGAUGUCAUGUUAUUCAGAUUUUAAAACCUGACUGAAGACAGAUGAUGGACAGGACCUAUCUUAUCUUCGGUGCUAUAACACAGUGUUUCCUCUCAGGAUGGCAAUAAAAGGAGCUCUUAAAAGGAUUAAAACCAGGACUCCCCAGUCCGGCGAUGAUAUGCUUUGCAGGGUUUCCCGGAGACACCGACUCUCAGUGUACCAUCAUGUCUUUUGGCUGCCUACUUGUGUCAUGUUUCCAGAUAGUACCUGGUUAAGAGGAACGGCUGUCGGCCUGGCACCAGGCAGCGUUACGUAAACAUCCCCCCACCUGGCACCCAGCAGUGAAUGAGUCGUGAAAGCUGUCCUUCUUUCCAAAAACGCUUCGCAGACAUGUAGAGACACACCAGAGUCUUAAAACGUGCCACGUGAACAGGAGAGCUGGUGUCGGAGAAGCCACACUCUCAAAAAUAAAGGUUGUUCAUUGUCAUCUGUGGUUCAAGAAUUUGUAUUAUCCCAUGGAACACGUUUAUUUCAGAUUGUCUUUUUUCUUUAGAUUUUGAAAAUGCUCUUCACUCUGAGAAAAAAAGGUUACUUUAAGAACUUUUAGGAACCAGAAGUGGUACCAGAAAAAACGUAGCUUGACUGCGAUUUGAACAAUGCAGUUUGUUGGCUUAAAAGCAAUGUUGGGAGUAAUGCGUUAUGAAAGUAAUGCAUUACAGUAAUAAAUUAUUUUUUGCAGUAGUGUAAGGCAUUACUAAUCCAUUUUCAGUCAUAUUUUACACACUUUUUGCCCAAAACUGUACCAAAAAGUAAGCUCCCGUGGUCAGUUAAUAGCCACGGGUGGUUUCCAAGUUUGUAAAUAAAGACAAAAGACGAUUUAUUUCAUUUAUCUCCCUCUUACUGGAGGAAGCUUGUAUGUGACGUGGUCGAGUGAAGACGUGUUUAUGGCAGGUUUGAGUGCUGCUAGACUACUGACCCGACAGUGGAAAAGAGGCCUGAUUUCAGCCUCUGUGCUCGAGGUCUGAGGCUAUUAGCCCGGUCUGGCUCGCUGGCCAGUGGAAAAGCGGCUAAUUGGUGAAGAUGGACACAUGCACAUUACUUCUGGUUUUCUGUCAUCCUUUUUUGCUUUUUCUUAAACAUUAAUUUUGCCAGUUAGAGUAGAUUUAGGCCCUAUAGCCCACCCUUUGACACGUGUCUGACAGCUUAUCAGAAUUACCAGCCUGAGAUGUCUUUUUUUCCCUCUUCUACCAAAUACUACUGUUUCGGGUAUUAAAAUAUUUCAAUUUUGUGCAUAAUGGCAAAAUGCUAUUUCAUUUAGGGUUAAGUUAAUUUAGGAACCACUUGUAUUUUUUUCAGGGGAAAUGAACCGAGACUCUUUAAAAAGACAUCUUUAAAUGACCACUUUACAAAAUAAAAAAGAAACACAUAAAUAUCCAAAAAUAAUUAAAAAAAUAUUUUAAAUGCCAUUGCAGGGAACCAACAGAAUCAAUUCCCGAGAACCGUCUGGAUAAUCCAGAUGUCUCUGCCUAAUAUAAGAAAGACUGGUUGUUUUAGAAAAGCCACAUUAUUCUAAAAAAGCUGUGCUACUGCGCUACUGAAAAAAAAAGUAGUUAAGUUAGGAGUGCUGCUACUUUAAGUUAGUUUUUAUACUUAUAAGAGAACAAGGAACAACAGUGUCUUGCCGGCCCCUGCCACCAUAUGCCAGAAAUUAUCAUACAGAUUUGCCUUUGUAUCCAUUUUUAACACACAGGAGAAGAAUCAAGCCUUUAUGCGGGCCGGGGUUUCACUGUUUACUCUUCUACCUUCAGGGCCAAAGGACAGAAAAAGAGAGAGAGGGAGACUCUGGUUUGAGUAAAUGAAGGGAAAGGUAGAGAACUGUAAGGUACAGAGGGAAGGAAAGGGGUGGAGAGAAGCAAGAAAGGAGUCCUUUGAGUGACAGUAAUUUAGAAACCUGUGCUUUUUAUGAGUUUCCUGCUCUUAGAAAAACAUACAGAGAGAGAAAAGGGGCCCAAUUCAAAUCGCUUUCUUUGAGCAGGGCUCUCAUGGCAGGACGCCGCUCUGCAUGUUUGUACAUGUGUCUUUAAAUUCAAUGGGAUUUUGCAUUGUUUGGGACUUGUUAAAUAUAAAGCACAAGUUAACAGUAUCUUUCAAAAUGAGUAUGUACUCCAUGGUGCAAAAAAGAGGAUGUUUUGCAGAAUGCACAAGCU